rnacentral:rRNA from 1 species
AUGCCUCAAGUCAAGUCAAGUAACAAGAACAAGAAAGAUUCUCCUUCUAGUAGUAACAAUAAUCAUGCUAAAUCCAAUAUUGUUGCUUCUAGUAGUUCUCUUGAUUCCACUAAUGAUUCUCUUAGGCAAGUUACACUUGAGCAAGAAAAUAGCUUAUUGAAGGGAAUUAUAGAGAAAGGUGUUUACAAGAGCCUUGCCGGAAGUAAGCAAUUCGAGGAGAUUGUACGCAAGCAAGGGAGGCACCGGAAGAAUCAAGGUGUUGCUUUUGAACGAAAGUUCAAUGCCAAUGGAGUUGAGCGGAAAGAAGAUCAAUACCCCAAGACGAAGUUUGUUCCUCAACAAGAUAAGUACGAUCCUACUUCUUUCAAGGGAACACAAGCUCAAGAUGAUCUUCCACCACAAGACCACAAGCAAAAGGCAAGGGCACGCUUCAAGAGGGGAUUGUUGCAUUUGAAGAAGCUCCUAAGGCCUUGGUCAAGUGGAUUCCCAAGACUACAUCAAGUUCUACUUCAUCAAGUAUGA